GUCACUAGUGUUGCCCAUGUUGUUCUUACAUCGUGAAACGAGGCGAAAAGGGUGAAACAAAUUGCAGCUAAUUUAUACUUAUAUUCCUGUGAUUUCAAAUAAUACCAAAUUGAACUUCGUAACUUAUAUGCAUACUGUCAGUCAUUCCAACAAGUUGACUAGUAGCGCUCAGUCACUUUCCAUCAGAUUAGACCCUCAUGUUGUCAAAAGCCAAAAACUCAUGUUUGAAGUGGAAUACAAAUGUGCCGAGAUAAGGAUCUUUUCUGAAUCUCGCAGUUUUGGUGGCGUACCCUGUAACAACAUGUUUUUUGUUAUGGCUGUUUCUACUUCUGUUUAGAAGGCAACCCAACUGAAGGAUAGAGUUUUAGAGACAUGAAGAGUGUGAAGUGAACAACCUGCUGGGAUGUGUAUGCACAUGUACCAGAUCUGCUUGAUGAAAGUCAAAUACCUUACUAAAUUCAUCACCCAUAUGAUAAAGCAUCAGGGAAUUAAUCUCAUCAUGUGGAGUAAUGCUGUUGGUUGCUGUGAAUUCCAUUUUUACGGUGUUCUAUCAUGAACAUUUCAGUGUGUUUCUUAGAUAAGAGCACGCAGCUUCUUUAUGGAAUCGUGCUGUCCUGGCACGGAGAUUCUUGUGCAAAUGCUGACCUUUGUCCAUGACGGAAGAGGGACUUCCACCAACAUGAUCUUCGCGACGCACGCUCAUCUAGCUUCACUGCUUCUAAACACAAUUUGUUUUACUUCACUGGUGACUUGGCGAGUUUC